rnacentral:piRNA from 1 species
UGCCAUGGUGACAGAUAUGAAAAGGAUGG